rnacentral:rRNA from 1 species
CGAGCGGCGUAAGGGGCAGUAAUACCUGGGGACGUACCCUUCAGUCGGGAAUAGCCGCGGGAAACCGCGGGUAAUGCCCGAUGAUUCCGGGAGGACAAAGGCUUGCCGCUGAGGGAGCGGCCCAGGCGCUAUUAGCUAGUUGGCGGGGUAACGGCCCACCAAGGCGAAGAUGGCUAGCGGGUGUGAGAGCACGACCCGCGCCACUGGCACUGAGACACUGGCCAGACACCUACGGGUGGCUGCAGUCGAGGAUCUUCGGCAAUGGGCGCAAGCCUGACCGAGCGACGCCGCGUGCGGGAUGAAGGCCCCCGGGUUGUAAACCGCUUUGGUCCGGGAGUAAGGCGCCUCACGGCGCUUGAACGACCGGAGAAACAAGCACGGGCUAAGUUCGUGCCAGCAGCCGCGGUAAGACGAACCGUGCGAACGUU